ensembl:lncRNA
GUCGAAUGAGAGGUGUAGCCACUGGCUUAAGAUCACAAAUACUAUUCAUAUUUUUUUGGCUGCGCCUGUGGCAUGUGAAAGUUCCUGGGGUAGGGAUUGAACAUGCACCACAGCAGCAACCCAAGUCACUGCAGCGACAAUACCAGAUCUUUGUAACCUACUGCACCACAAGGGAACUCCAACAUCAUGUGAAUUAUUGAGACCUGUUCAAGGGCAAGCAUUGUGGCCAGGUUUAGAUCACAAAAUGCUUUCAGGAGUUCCCGUGGUGGCUCAUCAAUUAACAAAUCUGACUAGCAUCCAUGAGGACACAAAUUCGAUCCCUGGCCUCGCUCAUGGGUCAAAGAUCUGGCAUUGUCUGUGUAGGUCACAGACACGGCUCGGAUCCUGUGUUGCUGUGGCUGUGCUGUAGGCCGGCAGCUACAGCUCUGAUUCAAGCCCUAGCCUGGGAACCUCCAUGUGCCUCAGCUGCAGCCCUAGAAAAGCAAACAAACAAACGAAAAACCAAAAUGGUUUCGGCCCAAAAUGGCUUCAGCCCAAAAUGGCUUCUCUUAUAUCAAGAAAGCCAGGCUUGAUUGUCUUUGUCUGGGGACCGCCUGCCCUAUCUGCUUACAACUGCCCAGGUCAUCCUCUGAGAUUUAGAGGCACUGACCAGCCCAGGGUUUUCCCUUGGCCCUUGGCACUGAGCGGAGAGCCCUACAGCCCAGAAUAUUUGGGGAACAGGGUGGAAUGAAAUCAUCUAUCAGAGCCAAACAAGACUGUCCCAGGAGGAAACCCAGCAGACACCUGCUCAGGGUGCAGCAAACAGUGACAAAGGUGGGGGGGAAGCUGCUCACCAGCCCAGCUGACUUGAGGACUAUCAAGCCAUCCUUAUAUCUUCAGCUGUGUCCCCAUGAACCUGCCGCAGUGUCUGGAAUUCCACUGCUAGGCUUCAGGUUCUGCUUUCAGCACACACUCCUGGGAGAGUCAGGCGUUCCACCAUCUCAGCCGCAGAAAUCAGGGAUCCUCAGAACUGGAGACCUCAAGGCAGCAGUGACCUCAUAGAUAAACCCCAGCGCAGGUACCGGAGCCGGUUAUCUGGAACAGGAAGUGGCUCUGGGAAGCAUGAACCAAUGAGAAAUCCCCUCUCGAGAACUGCACACUUUCUGCAAGGAAACAGACAUCACUGAAAGGAGGUUAGUAGGGCACCUCACCUGUGGGGAAACGUUUGGGGAACUCUUUGUGGGUUC